CAAUUCCAGCCCCGGGCCCAGGACCGAAGGGGGGCGCCCUGGUGCCGCGCUGCCCCCCAGCACCAAAACCCUCCUCCCCAGCAGGGAGGCCCUGGGCUCAGGUGCAGCGCCCGGGGGCAGCCAGGGGGGGCGCCGCUCCCGGGCCCCGCGGGGAGCCGGGGGUGCAGCCCGGGCGCCGCGCAGAGCGACUCACCGUGGCGGACGCCAGGCUGUUGUCGGCCAGCGUUAGGUGGUGCGGCUCCCAGCGCCUCAGGAAUUUCGAGGAACCCAGAUGACCAAGCCCCUCGCCUGCAGUUACCGAGCGCCCCCUCCCCCUGCCCGUGCCCCAGCAGCUCCCGCUUCUUCACCUGCCCCCCCUGGGACAGGACCCGGCCAUUCACCUCUGCACGUCUCCAGGCCCAGCCCGAGACCCAGGAGCGAGCUACGUUGGAGGUGCCUUUGGGGAAUGAACCGCAGCGUCGCCAACUCCAACUUGGAAGCCAAAACACUCCCUUCCUGCCACCAGGAGUGGCACCUAAAGCCACCCAGGAAAUGCUUGGGUCCUCAGCCAGGCUUUCCCCACGUCCACACGCUUCUGCAGAUUUUUGCUUUUUUGCAAAGCCAAGGUGCCUGGGUCAUGAACUGAUGAGUGUGUGGAGUGUGUAUCGAAUUGCAUCGCUAAUGCGGCAGGAAUUGCACACACCCCCUUCUCUCCCGAGAACAGACGAUGGCGUUACGCCCCGAAACAGCGUCCCCCUGGGCCUGGCCAGGGCCGGGGCAGGGAGUGGAAGACACGCCUGGGCCCACCACCAAAUAAGACUCAAGUCCACCCACCCAGAGAGGGGCAGGGCUAUUCUCUUCUCCCAUGCCCUGGGGAAGACACCACUGGGUUAGAAAAUGAAGACUUCCACCAACUCACCACACUUUUGCUGACAUUUCCUUCUAGUACUAAACUUCAACUGCCUUGAGAAAACCAUCAGACAAGAACAGGGCAAGCCUGAGACCCCCACCUCAAGAUACAGAUGGGGGCACAAGGGAUGGCCAUUACGGGGUGGGCUUAGCCCCGGCAACCUGAGCGCUUCCUUUGUGCCUCGCCUUUUACAUGCACACGUCGACAGCGCCCCACAACAACCCAUCCCGUGAAGCAGGUGCUGCCAUCACUCAGGUGCUGCCAUCACUGCCCCUUGCAGAUGAGGGUCCCUUAGCCAGGCCAGGAGCCACCCCAGGUUUCAGAUUCCCAAGUGGCUUACCAGAAAGCAUGACGCUCAGAGCCCAGGAGGAUGUGAGGAGGACCACUCUUGCGGAGGGACCACGGGAACAAAAAGAGGGAUGCCUCGCCCAGCCAGGGAGCAGCACUGGGGUCCUUGUCCUGACUCCACGGGGAAGAAGAGAGGGGCUCCAGGAAGGUGGGGGGUGUGGCACAUACAAAGGCAGAGAGGAGUGAGGACGCCUGGCCUCUCCAGGCAGUUGCCUGGUGGUGGAGGUGCCCGGGCAGGUGGGGCAAAAGCCUUGGAGGUGAACAGGGGCUCAGGGGGCAGCACCCUGAAAUCCAGGAGCAGGAAUCAAAUUCUCCUGAGGACCUAGCAGGGGCGUGAUCUGCAGAUGGCAUUUUCAAAAGAUCACUGGCUGCAGCGUGGCCAAGGGUCACAGAGGAGCAGCCUGGAGGUGGGGAGGGCAGGGAGGAGGCUGUCACAGGCCCCCAGAAGGGAGGUGAUGGGGCCAGGGACCGGCCAGCAGCAGGCAGGGCAGCUGCUGUCUUCUGAGACAUCUGCCCACCCCAUCCCCCUUUUCAGAGGGCGAGACUUACCAGGGUGCCGAGGAUCCCUGAUUUCUCCCAGGACCAUCCCAGAUGCUGCUUUGCAGGUGACAGGGUGGUUGAUUUGUGAGAAUAAGUAGGAAUAUCAUGAUAGUGACCAGCACUCACCAAGUGCCAGGCACUUCUCUGGGCACUUAUAUACUGUUUCAUUUCUUCCUCUCACCCAGCCCAGAAGAAAGGUUAUUAUCAUCCGCUCUUACAGAGGAAGAAGUUGAGGCUCUGAGCAGGUCAGACAGCUAUGGGGAUCAAGCCAACAUUUGAACCCAAAGUUCCAAAUGACCUCAAAUUCCAUGUUUUUCAUAAUCCUGUGGGGCUCUUAAUGUCCUCCUUGUCAUGUUAUCCCAACCAGGCACUCGGGAAGAAAGUGCUGUAUUUAGUCAAUGUCAUCUUUUUAAAUAAUAUUUUGUGAUUUUAGUUUGAAAACAGUGGACUGGAAUCCCUGAAAGCUGCAAGACAACUUCCUUGAGGGCAGGCACCAGGAGUGCCUGGCUGUCGGGAGCAUCUGGCUCUGCGCCUGCACACAGUAGGGCUCAGCAAAUACGCAUGGGGUGGUGGCGGAACCCACCUAUUCCCUAGUGCUGAGGAGAGCUGCGGUGAGUUGGGAUGGCAGGAGAGGGGCUGGCACUGGAUGGUUUGACCAUGCUAAUCGAGUCCCAACCCCCUGGACCACAGCUCACCGCAGAGCCCCUCGCCUCCCUCCGCCCAGUUCCCAACCUGUAAGUGAAUCUGAGACCAGCUGUCAGAUUCCGUCAGAAACCCCCUCCCUGGAGCUCCUCGCCCUCUCUAGGAGGCACAAGCCCGUCCCCACAGAUGGAUUAUGCGCUCACGUCAUCCUUGAUGCCACAGGAAUCCAGAGCCACCAAAGUAUGGCCCAGGCCCCUUAGAGUCCAUUCUCCUGCCACUGAACGUGAACUUGGAAGGGCACGGAAGCCCACACACACCCUUCACUGUCCUCGGGUUCUUCUUGGGUUCCCUAGUCCCUGGUCACCAUCAAGCCUGUCAUUGUCUGCAUUCUUUCCUGGAGGUCCCUCCUUUGUGAGCCAAGCCCCAACAGAUAACUCUCUGUCUUCACCUCCUCUCUGGAAUGACCCCUCAUAGUUCUGUUCGGCAGCGCCCUGGGCCACCUUGGUGGAGACCUAAUAUGCGUUAGGCUCAGCGCUGGGACCUGGGGAUACCCUCAGCAGCUCAGAUCUCAACUUCCAGUUCUCCGAAGUCUCCCUUCAGGCCAACUCAGACAGGACAGACAGAUCUGCUACCCAGACUGCCCAUACAGGAGUCUGAUGGGGAGGCAGAAGUCCCCGGUGGGGAGAGGAGAGCCGCAGGGCUGCCGGAAGGGGGCGUAGCUAGCCCUCUCCAGGCCUGGCUGGCAAGCAGACUGCCCAUGGGAGCAUGUCCUCCUCCAUGGGGUGGUCUCCAGGGGAUCCCCACCAACCUUCCCACAACAUCCACCUACCCGGAAACGGACCCCACAGACUGGUCCCUCCAAGCAGGCAGAGUUCUUUCCUGUUUUGCUCAUCACUCUAUCCCCCGACACGAUGGUAAAUGUUUAACAAUUAGCUUGCCCAACAAACGGAAAGCCCUGAAUUUCAAUGUUGGCCGAUUUCCCUGGUGUAAAUACUCUUGCCAUGGCCGAUUCAAGCUGCCAGCAGGCAUCACUGAAUACAGAAUUGGGAAGAGAUGUUCCCCCUUACGGACCGCGUCCACCAAACAAAUAGCAGGGUCAGCAAACUAUGCCGAGGGGCUGGAUUCAGGUCACAACCUGUAAAGCCUAACUUUUACUAUCCAGCCCUUUUAGAGAAACACAUUGCCAACCCAUGCCCUAGACAUAAGUAGCCUCAAGAACCAAGAUACUGGUGAAAGGUAGUAAGAUAAUUAGAGAGUGAUGAGUUUUUGACUAUUUGGUAUCUUUGUUUUAUAUAUAACUUAUUUAAUUGUAACUUUAUAUAAUCUAAUCUGUUUUAAUGUCUGUGUUUAACAACCAGUUUGCGAAAUGCCUGAAAAAUGAACAAUCAGCUCUCGUGAACCACUCACCAGUGCCUCUUUCUCCAGGGAUUUGUCCAUAGGGGGUGCACGGUGAUAAUCUGUUGAAUGUUUGACUGUCUAACUCCAGGGCCAAUGCCCCUAACUGCUAGACUACAUUGCCCUGCUUUAUUCAUUCAUUCACUCAUUCAUUCACUCUUGAUUCCAUUAAACACCUAUGUAUUGGCACCUGCUGAGUGCCAGAGCCUCUGCCAGGUGCUCCAGACACAAUUCACACAGCCAACUGGGAAAGCCAGAUCCGUGCCCCACACCCCCCACAAAAUAAAGAACAACAACAAAAAGAUGCCAAGAAAUCAAACUCCUCACCAGCUGUGGGUAUCCUCGGCUGCUUCACUAUAAAACGGGGCAUCACAAUACCGUCCUCCGGAGUCCUACGGGUUAAAUGAGGCAACCAACAGCGAGCUCAGAGCCUGGCGCAGAACGCAAUAGGCAUUAGCUCUUUCACGUCCCCACCGCCACCAUUUUUAGAACCUGCAUUUAAACAGCACUAAUAGGCCCUCCAUCCAGUCCACUUCCAUUCCAGUCCAAUUCUUUGAGCCUUUCCCAUUUGCCUAACAAACUAGGGGUGUAGACACCCUAGAUACGCACCUCUGCAGGGUUUAAAGCAGGGUUUUCCAGCCUUGGCACUGCUGAUAUUUGGGGACGGUAAUUCUUGGUGGUGGAGGCCAUCCUGCGAACUGUAGGACAUUGGGCAGCAUCCCUGGCCUUGACCCCCUAGAUGCGUGAAGCAGCCGCCUCCCCAGUGUGACAACCAAAAUACCGCGAGACAUUGCCGCGUGUUGCCUGGGGGGGCACAAGCACCUGUGUUGAGAAACCCCAGUUUAAAAGGAGGCUUUUCCCCUCCCUGUCAGCUGCUCUGUGGCCACAGGGCAGGGCCGCCCUCUCCCCAGCAUCCCCGGUCACAGUGCGGGGAGAUGGCGCUGGCCACGGGCGCGCAGGGGCCCCUUCCUCCUCAGACACGGCUCCCCAGGCGCGGGGGCAGACGCGCUCACAGCCACCUCCUCAGGCUGUCAAGGACCACGCAGCCCUGGGGAUGGAAGGAGAGGCAGCCUUUCCCCCUUUAAGCCGUGUCUUUGAAGCCUGAUUAAUGGCGGGAGGCUACGCGUGUCGGAAAAUGCCAAGUGCAAAAAGCAGGCAACGAAACUCUCUGUUCCCAAGUGGUCCCAAUCCUGGAGCUGCCCGCGGCACAAGUGCUAUUGGGGAACUCUCUGGAAGCCCUGUCUCAAAACUCCGUCUCAAAAUUACAUCAGCCGGGAGAACACUGCCGCCCCUCAUUUUUAACAGGCGUCAGACAACAGCACCACGGAACACACACUCUGCGCGGAUGGCAUUUAAUGUGCUAAUCGAAUCAUAAAAUGCACUUACUCUCCCCACUGAAACAAGAGUCGUGUUUCAGCCCUGCAGUGGGUGAACAUUUCCAUCCCUCUCCUCCCGGUGCUGACGUGGGACCAGUCCAUCUUCUAGUUCCAUCAGACGGGCAGUGGAGGGAGGGCACGAGGCAGAAGGAGCAUGUUUCCAUGCCUAGCAGCCUAGGAUAACGGGAGGCUGAGGAUAACUCUAGUGUAUCGCUCUCCACCUCCGCUAAAUUGAAGGGGGCAAAGGAGAGCAGCGGUGGUGGUGGUGGGGGGGGGGGACAAGGUGCCAUUGUCUACCCCCCACCCCCUUUCUCACUGUCUCCAAAUAAUGAAGUCUGAGGUUAACGGAGAAGGAACACAGAUGACUGGGUGUUUUUCUGGAAAGAAUAUUUUUUACACAUACUCCAAGACUAUUGACCAAUUUAUUAAACACACCAAAUCUUAGUCGAGGUUCUCUGGGAUGAUGAUAUUACAGGUAAUUUUUUCCUUUUUAAACCAACGCUAAUGGUGCAUAAUUGAUAUAUAAUAAAUGCACCCAUUUUAAGGGAACGGGUUGCUACAUUUUAAUAAAUGUGUACGCCCACGUAACCACUAUCCCAGUCAAGAUAUAGAUAUAAAACCUUCCCACAACCCCCAAAAGUCUUGUUGCAUUCCUUCACAGUUGGUCCCCGCCGCCCACUCUCAGCCCUGGGCAAGCCCCAAUCUGCUUUCCCUCACUAUAAAAGUUUUACCUGUUCCUGAACUUCAAAUAAAUACAAUCAGAAGGUACGUACUCUUUGGAAUCCGACUGCUUUGACUCAGCACAACAGUUUUUGAGAUUCAUUUGUGGUGGGGCCGGUAUCAUCCAUUCUUUUCUGUUGCUUGACAAGCGUACCCAUUACACAGAUAUACCACUUAUGGGUAAAUUUUGUUUUCUUCUUUACACUCUCUUUUGUUCCCCCCAAUUUUCUA